rnacentral:rRNA from 1 species
AGUGAACGCUGGCGGUAGGCCUAACACAUGCAAGUCGAACGGCAGCACAGUAAGAGCUUGCUCUUACGGGUGGCGAGGGGCGGGCGGGUGAGGAAUAGAUAGGAAACUAAUAUUACGGGGGGGAUAACGGGGAGAAAGUUACGAUAAUAGCGAAUACGACGUACGGGAGAAAGCAGGAGAGAUUGGGACCUUGGGCGAUUGAAAGAGCCGGUGUCGGAUUAGAUAGUUGGGGGGGUAACGGCACACCAAGGCGACGAUCCGUAGCUGGUCUGAGAGGAUGAUCAGCCACACUGGAACUGAGACACGGUCCAGACUCCUACGGGAGGCAGCAGUGGGGAAUAUUGCACAAUGGGCGCAAGCCUGAUCCAGCCAUACCGCGUGGGUGAUGAAGGCCUUCGGGUUGUAAAGCCCUUUUGUUAGGAAAGAACAUCAGCAUGUUUAUCCCCCGCUGUUCUGACGGUACCCAAAGAGUAAGCACCGGCUAACUUCGUG